rnacentral:rRNA from 1 species
UACGUAGGGGGCAAGCGUUGUCCGGAAUUAUUGGGCGUAAAGCGCGCGCAGGCGGUUCUUUAAGUCAGGGGUGAAAUCCCGGGGCUCAACCCCGGAACUGCCUUUGAUACUGGCAUUCUCGAGUCCGGAAGAGGUGAGUGGAAUUCCGAGUGUAGAGGUGAAAUUCGUAGAUAUUCGGAGGAACACCAGUGGCGAAGGCGGCUCACUGGUCCGGUACUGACGCUGAGGUGCGAAAGCGUGGGGAGCAAACAGG